UGGGGAAUUUUCCACAAUGGGCGAAAGCCUGAUGGAGCAACGCCGCGUGUGUGAUGAAGGUCUUCGGAUCGUAAAGCACUUUCGACCGGGAAGAAAAACCUCUGGCUAACAUCCAGGGGCCUGACGGUACCGGGAGAAGAAGCACCGGCUAACUCUGUGCCAGCAGCCGCGGUAAUACAGAGGGUGCAAGCGUUGUUCGGAAUUAUUGGGCGUAAAGCGCGUGUAGGCGGCUUGGCAAGUCAGAUGUGAAAGCCCAUGGCUCAACCAUGGAAGUGCGUCUGAAACUGCUGAGCUUGAGUACCGGAGAGGAUGGCGGAAUUCCGCAAGUAGAGGUGAAAUUCGUAGAUAUGCGGAGGAACACCGGUGGCGAAGGCGGCCAUCUGGACGGUAACUGACGCUGAGACGCGAAAGCGUGGGUAGCAAACAGG
rnacentral:rRNA from 1 species